GUGUGUGUGUGUGCGUGUGUGUGCAUGUAUGUCUGUGUGUCUAUGUGUGUGUCCCUGCCUCAGCCCAAUUCUCAGAUCAAUUAGAGAUUGCUCUUGAGUAGUGUCUCAUGUCUACACUUGAAGUGGAAGGAAGACAGAACAAUCAGAAAGCAUCAAACUUCUCUUUCCCAGACUGUCUACCUGUCUGCAAGGAACCUGAAACCGUUGCCUCUGAACUGAAAAGAAAAGGAGGUGGGGAGGAGGGGACAGCAGCAGAUAGGCUAUGUAGAGCAGGUGA
rnacentral:lncRNA from 1 species